rfam:Ovis aries breed Texel chromosome 2, whole genome shotgun sequence.
UCCCUGGAGGUCCAGUGGUUAGGACUGUGCAUUUUUACUGCUGAGGGCACAGGUUCAAUCCCUGGUCAGGGAA